GGUCUGUGAUGAUGAUACUUAGCUCACUUUGAAUGCCAGUGAAACGACACGAACAUCUGAGGCCU